GCCUCAGUAACGGCGAGUGAAGCGGCAACAGCUCAAAUUUGAAAUCUGGCUCUUUCAGGGUCCGAGUUGUAAUUUGUAGAGGGUGCUUUGGCGUUGGCCGUGGUCUAAGUUCCUUGGAACAGGACGUCACAGAGGGUGAGAAUCCCGUACGUGGCCGCCGGUCUUCACCGUGUAAAGCCCCUUCGACGAGUCGAGUUGUUUGGGAAUGCAGCUCUAAAUGGGAGAUACAUUUCUUCUAAAGCUAAAUAUUGGCCAGAGACCGAUAGCGCACAAGUAGAGUGAUCGAAAGAUGAAAAGCACUUUGGAAAGAGAGUCAAAAAGCACGUGAAAUUGUUGAAAGGGAAGCGCUUGCAGCCAGACGUGCCCGCAGUUGCUCACCUAGGCUCUCGCCUGGGGCAUUCUUCUGCGGGCAGGCCAGCAUCAGUCCGGGCGGUUGGAUAAAGGCCUCUAUCACGUACCACCCUUCGGGGUGUCCUUAUAGGGGAGGCGCAACACGGCCAGCCUGGACUGAGGACCGCGCAUCAGCUAGGAUGCUGGCGUAAUGGCUGUAAGCGGCCCGUCUUGAAACACGGACCAAGGAGUCUAACAUCUAUGCGAGUGUUUGGGUGUCAAGCCCGGGCGCGCAAUGAAAGUGAACGGAGGUGGGAACCCCUCGGGGUGCACCAUCGACCGAUCCUGAAGUCUUCGGAUGGAUUUGAGUAAGAGCAUAGCUGUUGGGACCCGAAAGAUGGUGAACUAUGCCUGAAUAGGGUGAAGCCAGGGGAAACCCUGGUGGAGGCUCGCAGCGGUUCUGACGUGCAAAUCGAUCGUCAAAUUUGGGCAUAGGGGCGAAAGACUA
rnacentral:rRNA from 1 species